AGAGAGCUGCCACUCUGAUGUGAUAUCUCAGCUGGUGCUCUGAAAAUCCCAUGAUAUGGUAGCUGCCUCUACCCCCACACUACUGCCGGGGGACAUGGCUCUUGGGACAAUGACAGGAGGAGAGUGCUUUUGUAGCCAUUUGCAUAGGAGUGUUAGACAGAUGGCUCCCUCGGACAGUGAUUUUGCUUAGAAUGAGGUAGACAAUGAGGAGAAACAUUUGGACUGGAUUUGUAUGCCAGCCUCAAACAGGAUCUGGAUACGGCAGUUCCACGGAUAAUUCUCAGCAAUCUACAAAGGGCUGGACUGUGGUUGUGGAGCCAAACAGCAGUCUGGGGGAAUGGGGGAGCUGCGCUGCCUCAGGCAGGCACAACAGGCUGAAUCCUCAGCGGGUGUAACUUGGCAUAGGCUCCAUGGAAACAGUGUGGGAUAGUGCCAGUUGGCACCAGCGGAGAAGCUGGCCCAAUAUGCCCUGGAGCACUAUAAACACUUGGACCACAGAGACCUUGCUACAUCCUUUCACGUGCGUAGCACAUGGUCCCCUGCCCCUGGAAGGGCAACCAGUCCAUCUUCCUGGUUUUCUUUGAACAAAAAAAUAAUGCCAAGGGAAGUGCUUCCUUGGGGCAGCCUUUGCCCAAGGCAGCACAAGGACUAUGACUGUGCCAAUCUCCUACCAUGGACUGAGUGGAAGAGGGGAGAGUUCAUUCUACCACACACUUGUACAACUGCCCUCGGCUAGUCAGAAUCUAGCCCUUGAUGGUUGUCCAUAUAUUGGCCAGAUACUUGCAGGGAAUACAGCAGUUGAAACGUUUGUCAUUGUGUCUGUGGCAUUUAUACUGAAGUCCUUUUUAUCGGUAUUUAUGGCAACACUGGUUAGGAGGCAUUUUGUUGCUGGAAAAGCCAUUUUCAGGGGAUGUGCACAGUUUGGAACCACAGAAAUUGAUCUGGAUUCAUUCUGACUCUACUCCUACCUGAAACAAAGGGAGGUUAUGCAAGCGGAUGGGACAUGAGGUCUCACACCAAUACUUACAUGCAGGAGGACUUUUUUGUUGGAAAAGAAAGGAAAAUACAUGUUAGAAAACGAUACUGGGCAGAAGGAGACAAGGACGCAGAAGAAUCCUGGACUCCCUGUAGCACACUGACUAAGAUCAAAAGGGCCCUGUCAGUGAGGGUGAAAAAAUGAGGGAAUGUCUCAUGUGCAGCACACUACAAUGAAGAAAGAGAAAGAAAAUGGCAGUGGAAAAAGGAGAAGACAACUGUUCUCCAAGAUCCAGUGCUGAUCAUGAUUAAACUCUGUGUUCAAUGAUUUUCAAUCUGGAGUCUUGAUAUCCAUGGGAUUUCAAAUGUCAACCUGACAAUCAAAUGUCUUAAGUAGUAUUGGUAGGACCCCAGGAACAUCACAAAACAGCACAUUCCAGACAACAGCUUCUGAUUGCCAGUAAAUAUACAUGCCAUCCAGACUAUCAAUCAAAAGCAAAGCUGUCUGAUACACUAUUGUUGUUCUUUGGGUUUAUUUCAUUUAAGCACUUUGGUUGUCCUAAGCCUCUGGAAAAGUUCGAAUUUGUUACAUGGAUUUUAAAAUGCAUUGAGCUUACCAGAUAUGACAUCUAACUAUGUUAACGAUGGCUGGUUUUGGAACUCCCAGUAGAAUUUGUAUGCAAUUAAUGUUUUCCUUCUCUGAACAGAAACCUAGAGGUUUGCAAAACCCACCAUAUGUUUGUCAGUUUGCCAGUGAAUCAAGAUGUUUUUGAGCCUUCUGUGUUUCAAUAAUUAAUGGCAAUGUCUAAAACCUAACCCACGGCUCAGGGGCUGAGAACAGAACCUUUGUGAUGGCUAAUGAUGCUCAGCAUUAACACGACUAGAUAUUUCACAUGAUGAACUAGACGUUUUUAGUGACAUCCCCUUCCCCCCGCUCUGCUCCUGUUUUUCUUCCUGAUCACCUCCCUUCCAUUAAUAGAUUCUUCUAGAUGCCUUGCAAACACUCAGAGUAAUACUCUUACUCCAAUUCUUGGCUUAGAUUAUGGAUGUUUUAGCCUUUGAAUGUUUAAUUUCCAAAUUCAGUCUCCCUGGGCUGACUUGCCGUUAGUAGUUAAAUGUAGUCUAACAGUGUAAGAAUCUGAAAAUAUCUUUUAUUCUCAUCAA